AUAGAGUGAUUUCACAGUGUCCACGUCGACAAAUUUAUUCGGCCAAUCAAAACAUUUCAAUAAUACACGUAUGACCUCCUAAACUGUUGCUUUUGUAUGGGCUUCAAUGUGGUUUUACUGGGCUUCGUCGGUUUCAAACUACCGGUACAAUUAGAAAAAAAAAACCUGAGACGGAUAACACGAUGCUCUCUCCUCUAUCGCUUCGUCUUCACCGUUUUCUCUCCAUCCUUUCAGUUCUCUCGAUCCUCAUAUUAUAAAUAUUCGGCUUUAAGGAAACGGAGAAGGAAAGAAGGAGACCAUAUGGAAAGACAUGCAUUUGAAGAUCUUCACAACCACAUCAAGAGCUCGGCGGUGAUCGUGACGGAGCCCGAUUUCAACGCCAAGAUCUGCCACUUCGGCACCGGGCAGCUCUGUGGGGAAACAGACGGAUCGAGAGAUUCCAAAGCCGUUUGAUUCGAAGGAGUGAUAGGAUACAUGUCGCCGGAUUUUCAGGCUUUGGGGUUGCGACUCAGGAAUCAGACGUGUUCGCCUUCGGAGUCAUGAUGCUUGAGCUUCUCUCCGGCGAGGAGUCGUUGAAGUAUAGGUAUGAGAAAUCGACCGGGGAUUUUGAACGGACUUUGGUGAUUGAAAUCGCGAAAGCGGUGGUUGACGGCGGAGAUGGUGGUGACGUAGGGGGCGGUUGAGGAGGUGGAUGGAUCGGAGGUUGGGGGAUUCGUUUCCGGUGACGGUGGAGGAGAAGUUAAUGCGGUUGGCGUUGGAGUGCGUCGAGGAUGAGGCGGUGAACCGGCCGGAGAUGGGAAGAGUCACCGGAAAGAUAUCGCAAUUGUAUUUGGAAUCGGAGAAAUGGUUGGCGAAUAUGAAGACUUCCUUUCCAGGUUUCAGAAGUCUCAUUUCUUUGUUAGGAUCGCAGAGUCUGGUGAGCCGCUUUGGUCAAAGAAACCUCUGUGUUGGGAGAUACAAAGCUAGAGGAAAAGCGGGAAAAAGAGACCUUGUGUUAGUGCUUUUUUAGAUAGAGGAGAGUUUGAUCUUAAUGUUGCUGGAGGUGUAGCAAGAAGUAAGGCAAAAUGUUGUGCCUUACCCAAUGGAGACACAUGAUGGUAAUUCUUAUAAGUUGUUGUUUUAACCUACUGAUUCUCACACAAUGCCUUUAUUUGGAAGGGUGAAGGUCUCUUUACAAGUUUAUAUCGCUGACUGUCCCAAUGAACCAAUCAUUGAGAUACUGCAGUUUGAGAAGCAUCAAGACAUGGACCAACUUUCUGAUCAUGAACACAAGGAUCCAUAUGGGAACCUUUUGAAGUGGUUGAUACCGUUGGAUAACACUAUUUCUCAGCAACCCCGUUACCUCCUAUAAGCUCUACCCCAGAUAUCAGCAGCAGUGCACACAAGCCAUUACUCUCUUCUGGCUCAGGAUCUCAGCUCUUCUCAUUCGUCCAUUUUAGAAGCUACUCCAUGUUAGCUCUGCCGGCGCCGUGUUUAUAGUUUCUGUACGUAUGUGUUUGUGGAAGCAGUGCACACAAGCCAUUACUCUCUUCUGGCUCAGGAUCUCAGCUCUUCUCAUUCGUCCAUUUUAGAAGCUACUCCAUGUUAGCUCUGCCGGCGCCGAACACUGCACCAGUUACUGGACCGUAAAAACUGAAAGCUCCAAACCAUCAUUUGACCUUGAAGACUGGAACUGUUACUCAGGUCAAACAUUAUGGAACGGUCACAAGUCUGGGACUGAAGAGCGCUUAUCUUUCCGGGGUGUCCCUUUGGAGCGGGAUAAAUUCUCUGUUCGUUGUGGACGUGAAGGCAUAUGCAUUCCUGGUAAGAAGAUGGAGGAAGAAACUCGAAAUCAUUCAACCUAUUGAUAUCAAUUCUUUUACAGCUGAUUGUAAUACAGAUAAACAUUUAAUAUAAAUAGUUUUAAAUUUUUAUAAUAAAUUCUAAUGUAUAUAUGUAACAUAGUCAUAUUUAAUAUAAUAUGGGUAUAUUUUGUUAACU